rnacentral:rRNA from 1 species
UACGAAGGGGGCUAGCGUUGUUCGGAAUUACUGGGCGUAAAGGGCGCGUAGGCGGUGUGUCAAGUCAGGCGUGAAAGCCCCGGGCUCAACCUGGGAACCGCGCUUGAGACUGGCACGCUCGAGUUCGGGAGAGGAUGGUGGAAUUCCCAGUGUAGAGGUGAAAUUCGUAGACAUUGGGAAGAACACCGAUGGCGAAGGCAGCCAUCUGGACCGACACUGACGCUGAGGCGCGAAAGCGUGGGGAGCAAACAGG